rnacentral:rRNA from 1 species
UACGGAGGGUGCAAGCGUUGUCCGGAUUUAUUGGGCGUAAAGGGCGCGUAGGUGGCGGGACAAGCGUGCGGUGAAAGCCUGGGGCUCAACCCCGGGUCGGCCGUGCGAACUGUUUUGCUUGAGCACUGUAGAGGCAGGCGGAAUUCCGGGUGUAGCGGUGGAAUGCGUAGAGAUCCGGAAGAACACCGGUGGCGAAGGCGGCCUGCUGGGCAGUAGCUGACACUGAGGCGCGACAGCGUGGGGAGCAAACAGG